rnacentral:rRNA from 1 species
CAUGCAAGUCGAGCGGACAGAUGGGAGCUUGCUCCCUGAUGUUAGCGGCGGACGGGUGAGUAACACGUGGGUAACCUGCCUGUAAGACUGGGAUAACUCCGGGAAACCGGGGCUAAUACCGGAUGGUUGUUUGAACCGCAUGGUUCAAACAUAAAAGGUGGCUUCGGCUACCACUUACAGAUGGACCCGCGGCGCAUUAGCUAGUUGGUGAGGUAACGGCUCACCAAGGCAACGAUGCGUAGCCGACCUGAGAGGGUGAUCGGCCACACUGGGACUGAGACACGGCCCAGACUCCUACGGGAGGCAGCAGUAGGGAAUCUUCCGCAAUGGACGAAAGUCUGACGGAGCAACGCCGCGUGAGUGAUGAAGGUUUUCGGAUCGUAAAGCUCUGUUGUUAGGGAAGAACAAGUACCGUUCGAAUAGGGCGGUACCUUGACGGUACCUAACCAGAAAGCCACGGCUAACUACGUGCCAGCAGCCGCGGUAAUACGUAGGUGGCAAGCGUUGUCCGGAAUUAUUGGGCGUAAAGGGCUCGCAGGCGGUUUCUUAAGUCUGAUGUGAAAGCCCCCGGCUCAACCGGGGAGGGUCAUUGGAAACUGGGGAACUUGAGUGCAGAAGAGGAGAGUGGAAUUCCACGUGUAGCGGUGAAAUGCGUAGAGAUGUGGAGGAACACCAGUGGCGAAGGCGACUCUCUGGUCUGUAACUGACGCUGAGGAGCGAAAGCGUGGGGAGCGAACAGGAUUAGAUACCCUGGUAGUCCACGCCGUAAACGAUGAGUGCUAAGUGUUAGGGGGUUUCCGCCCCUUAGUGCUGCAGCUAACGCAUUAAGCAUCCGC